GAUGAACGCUAGCGGCAGGCCUAAUACAUGCAAGUCGAACGAUACCAGAGAGCUUGCUUUCUGGGAAAGUGGCGCACGGGUGCGUAACGCGUAUGCAACCUACCUUAAUCAGGGGGAUAGCCUCUCGAAAGAGAGAUUAACACCGCAUAAAAUCACACUUCGGCAUCGAAGAAUGAUCAAAUAUUUAUAGGAUUAAGAUGGGCAUGCGUGACAUUAGCUAGUUGGUAAGGUAACGGCUUACCAAGGCUACGAUGUCUAGGGGAUCUGAGAGGAUGACCCCCCACACUGGUACUGAGACACGGACCAGACUCCUACGGGAGGCAGCAGUAAGGAAUAUUGGUCAAUGGGGGCAACCCUGAACCAGCCAUGCCGCGUGCAGGAAGACGGCCCUACGGGUUGUAAACUGCUUUUAUACGGGAAUAAAUCUCGCUAACGUGUAGUGAGUUGAACUGUACUGUAAGAAUAAGGAUCGGCUAACUCCGUGCCAGCAGCCGUACGG
rnacentral:rRNA from 1 species